AAGUUUCUUCUUCUUCUUCCUCAG
rnacentral:sRNA from 1 species